rnacentral:rRNA from 1 species
UGGGGAAUAUUGGACAAUGGGCGAAAGCCUGAUCCAGCCAUGCCGCGUGUGUGAAGAAGGCCUUUUGGUUGUAAAGCACUUUAAGUGGGGAGGAAAAGCUUAUGGUUAAUACCCAUAAGCUCUGACGUUACCCACAGAAUAAGCACCGGCUAACUCUGUGCCAGCAGCCGCGGUAAUACAGAGGGUGCAAGCGUUAAUCGGAAUUACUGGGCGUAAAGCGCGCGUAGGUGGUUAUUUAAGUCAGAUGUGAAAGCCCCGGGCUUAACCUGGGAACUGCAUCUGAUACUGGAUAACUAGAGUAGGUGAGAGGGGAGUAGAAUUCCAGGUGUAGCGGUGAAAUGCGUAGAGAUCUGGAGGAAUACCGAUGGCGAAGGCAGCUCCCUGGCAUCAUACUGACACUGAGGUGCGAAAGCGUGGGUAGCAAACAGGAUUAGAUACCCUGGUAGUCCACGCCGUAAACGAUGUCUACCAGUCGUUGGGUCUUUUAAAGACUUAGUGACGCAGUUAACGCAAUAAGUAGACCGCCUGGGGAGUACGGCCGCAAGGUUA